rnacentral:rRNA from 1 species
GUAAUACUCCAUAGUUCGUUAUUACUGGAAUGUUUUUCGAACGAAAGAUCCGUCGCUUCAGGAUGAGUCUGCGGCCGAUUAGGUAGUUGUUGGGGUAAUUGCCCAACAAGCCUGUAAUCGGUACGGGUUGUGGGAGCAAGAGCCCGGAGAUGGAUUCUGAGACACGAAUCCAGGCCCUACGGGGCGCAGCAGGCGCGAAAACUUUACCAUGCGGGCAACCGUGAUAAGGAAACCCCGAGUGCCAGCACAGGCUGGCUGUCCGCCAGUUUAAACAACUGGCGAAGAAAGGGCCGGGCAAGACCGGUGCCAGCCGCCGCGGUAAUACCGGCGGCUCGAGUGGUGGCCGCUAUUACUGGGCUUAAAGGGUCCGUAGCUUGAUAAUAGGGUCCCUUGAGAAAUCCGCCGGCUUAACUGGCGGGCGUUCAGGGGAAACUUGUUUUCUAGGGACCGGGAGAGGUGAGGGGUACUGCCGGGGUAGGAGUGAAAUCCUGUAAUCCCGGUGGGACCACCUAUGGCGAAGGCAUCUCACCAGAACGGGUCCGACAGUGAGGGACGAAAGCUGGGGGAGCACACCGGAUUAUAUACCCGGGUACUCCCAGCUGUAAACUAUGUGCGUUAGGUGU